rnacentral:rRNA from 1 species
GAGUAGGGCGGGACACGUGGUAUCCUGUCUGAAUAUGGGGGGACCAUCCUCCAAGGCUAAAUACUCCUGACUGACCGAUAGUGAACCAGUACCGUGAGGGAAAGGCGAAAAGAACCCCGGCGAGGGGAGUGAAAAAGAACCUGAAACCGUGUACGUACAAGCAGUGGGAGCCUCUUUAUGGGGUGACUGCGUACCUUUUGUAUAAUGGGUCAGCGACUUAUAUUCUGUAGCAAGGUUAACCGUAUAGGGGAGCCGAAGGGAAACCGAGUCUUAACUGGGCGUUAAGUUGCAGGGUAUAGACCCGAAACCCGGUGAUCU